UACCUCACUUUUAUUUAUUCAACAAGUUAAUAGUAGUUGGUAGAGAAUUUUAGUCAAAUAUGUAAAAAGUAUGUCAUAUUCAACUUGAUGGGGUAUAUACUCAGUCAACGAGUCGAUUAAGUCGAGACACGAAAAUCUUGCUCUCUUUAAAGAUAUUCAAGCCGUCUGCGGUUGGCAAAGUCAACUAAUGCAGUAGAACAUUGGUUUAUCUCUUUCAGGAUACAACAGCUCGAUCUUCGUCGUGUGACUUUACUAACUUGGGAAUACAAUAGACAAAAAGAAGUUGGUUGUUCUAUUGUAAAUUUUUGAAUUUUUUUAUUUGAUUGGAGAAAAGGUGAGAGAUAAGAU
rnacentral:lncRNA from 1 species